rnacentral:rRNA from 1 species
GAUGAACGCUGGCGGCGUGCCUAAUACAUGCAAGUCGAGCGAACAGAUAAGGAGCUUGCUCCUUUGACGUUAGCGGCGGACGGGUGAGUAACACGUGGGUAACCUACCUAUAAGACUGGAAUAACUCCGGGAAACCGGGGCUAAUGCCGGAUAACAUUUAGAACCGCAUGGUUCUAAAGUGAAAGAUGGUUUUGCUAUCACUUAUAGAUGGACCCGCGCCGUAUUAGCUAGUUGGUAAGGGAACGGCUUACCAAGGCAACGAUACGUAGCCGACCUGAGAGGGUGAACGGCCACACUGGAACUGAGACACGGUCCAGACUCCUACGGGAGGCAGCAGUAGGGAAUUUUCCGCAAUGGGCGAAAGCCUGACGGAGCAACGCCGCGUGAGUGAUGAAGGUCUUCGGAUCGUAAAACUCUGUUAUUAGGGAAGAACAAAUGUGUAAGUAACUGUGCACGUCUUGACGGUACCUAAUCAGAAAGCCACGGCUAACUACGUG